CGGACAACAUCCUUUUAGACCAUAAUUUCACAGCAAAGGUGGCGGAUUUUGGAGCUUCAAAGUUGGUUCCUAUUGAUCUCACGCAGCUAUCCACCAUGGUGCAAGGGACUUUUGGAUACCUCGAUCCUGAAUACAUGCAAACGAAUCAGUUGACAGAGAAGAGCGAUGUUUAUAGCUUCGGAGUAGUCCUCUUGCAGCUGCUCACAGGGCGGAGAGCAUUGAGUUUUGAUAGGCCAGUAGAGGAGAAGAGUUUAGCCAACUAUUUCCUUUCUCUACUCAAACAGGACCUUUUGCUUGAAAUUAUUGAUGAUAAUAUUGUGGGUUUAGGAAAUAUGGAGCAAAUAUCAGCAGUUUGUAAGCUCGCGAAAGAGUGCUUGAACGUGAGAGGCGAAGAUAGGCCUAGUAUGAAGGAGGUGGCAAUGGAGCUCGAAGGGCUGAUACUCGGAGGGAAGCAUUCGUGGGCAACAAUAAAUGUAGAGAAUGAAGAAGAGAAGGAGUCUUUGCUUCCAAAUGAUGGUGGAAUGAGUCACUUUGGUAAUGGUGAUAUGAGCUCAAGUGUGGGAUAUGAUAGCAUCAACAGAGAUCAUAUUAUUUUGCCAAUGGAUGGAGGAAGAUGAAAUGUUUUAAUUUUAUUAGUUUAAGGAAUUUCUGUUUCUGUAUGUGUAUUCAUGUUGCGUCUUGUCAUUACGUUGUUCUUUCCAUGGGUGCAAUGUAGAGGUUGUUUAACUAAUUAAGCUUAUCUUAAAUAGCAUAUAAGUUAAUUGGAGUUUUAUAAGAUGUAUUUGUUUUUUGAUUUUGGGGAAUUGGGAAGGGGGAGCAGUGGGGUUUGAACCCCGGGGCGGGACCUCACUGUUCACACACAGAAAGUCGCACCGCUUGGUGUCCCCAAUAUGUAAUUUCUUAAGAAUUCAUAAAUAUUUAUCGAAGUGUUUGAAUACUUAAUUGAGCCUAUAAGCUUGAGAGAUAAUUUUUAGUUAGAGAAAAAAAAAAUUUAAUACAGUAAAAAAAUCGAACAAAUUAAGAUUAAAUUAGAAUGAUAUGUGAUGAAAUAAAAAAUUAUAGUGGAGUUGUUUUGUAAAAUGAGUGUUGCUUAUAAGAUAAUGAGAAAAUAAGCUGGAUAGAAAAACUUAUCUUUUUAAGAGCUUAUAAACUGUAAAAAUUUAUUUUAUCAAACAUUUUGAACGACUAAUAAAUUAUUUAUAAAAUUUAUAAGCUCGGCCAAACAACCACUUAUCAUAUCUUGGAAGUAAGUAGUAUCAGGUUUUUAAUUGCUAAAGUCUUAAAAUAUGAAAAUUUAGUGGGAGAAAUGUCAAUUUAAUUUUAGUACUAUUGUUUAGUGUGUGCCUAUCAAUUUGAUAUUGUUUAUUGUUACUUAUCUCGCAGUUCUGGUCACUAUGAUGUGAAGUCCCAACAAGAACGUAAUCAUUCGUGAAGAAAGGUAAACAUGAUUUUUUUUUUUAAUUCGUACGAAUAAUAAAGUAUGCUAUCAUACAAAGGAGUCAUUUUUUAUUAAAUGAUAAGAGCUGACAUUUUUAGUUUUUUAAAAUUAAAGGCAAGCUAGUGGCGAUAUUAAUCUAAAUUUUUCUAAAACAAAAUAUAGUUGCAAAUCGAUUAAUUUUGGUCUACUUCAAAUNAUUUUAAUUUUUAAAAUAUAUUUAAAAAUUAUUGUGACUAAUAUAAAGAAUAAAAAUAAAACAAAAUAAAAAAGAUAAAGGUCAUGUGAGUGUCACUAAUGGGAGUAGAUUUAAGAUAAAGGUUGGGUUGUGUAUGUGGAAGAGAGAGAAUUGAAUAUUUUAAUUGAUCGUUGAUGAGGUUUUGGGAAGAUGUAGAGUCUAAGUAAGAGGGUGUCUUAUUGUGUAAGUCAUGUGUACAUCUUAACUUCAUAUAGUGAAUAAUUUUAUCUGGAUGAGGCCCCCCAGACGUAGGUUGUGUUUAACCGAAGUGGGUUAUCAUUUUGUGUGUUUCAUGCAUCUUUCGUACUCACAUUUGGUAACACAUCUCACCACAUGUUCUAUGGAUUAGUCAUUCUUUCAGAUACCAUUAUAAAUAAUUUAAAAAUAAAAUAAAAAAUUAAUGGCGUACCAUUUUAAUUUGUGACAGGAAGCGAACGAGUCCCCCGUAACCCUAUGCAAGUGGCCUAUGUAAAGACUCCGACGUCCGUUGACUAAUUAGCCCAAUAAUUAUGUCUACACUAUAUAUUCAUAUACUGUGUUGGUAACAAGUGUGCUUUAUCGAUCAGAAUCAUGGUGUUUGAGAAACUCAACAAUAUGCAGGCUUCAAUUCUGCUCAUCAUGUUCAUUUUGGCCUCCUCUCCAACACUACUACUCUCAUCACAGAAUUUCCCCUUAGCUAAGCUAAACUGCAGCGAUCAUUGCGGUGAUAUAAGCAUCCCAUUCCCUUUCGGCACCACAGAAGAAUGCUACAUCCACAAGAGUUUUUGGGUCACUUGCAACGACACCGGUUUCAAUCCUCCGAAGCUCUUCUGGUGGAACACGUCAGUCGAAAUCACAGAUAUAUCCCUCGACGGCCAGAUCAAAUUGCAGUUGUUCAUUGCAAAAAAUUGUUAUGCUAACGGCAAAAGUAAUAUGAGCAACAAUCCUUUGUUACGGCUUACUACAUAUUUCACGCUGAAUAACACUGCGAAUAAGUUCACUAUCGUGGGGUGUGAUGCCUACGGCUUCGUCUCAGGGCGUAGGAACAACCGCUACUUCACGACAGGCUGCACCGCUAUGUGCAGGUCCGAGGCUGAUCUGACCGAAGGAGAGUGUGACGGCGUCGGCUGUUGCCAGACUACCAUCCCCAAAUAUGUGUGGAGGGUAGAACUUGAUGUUCGGAGUUACUCCAAUUAUAUCAAUAUUUCCAACUUCAACAACUGCAGUUAUGCCUUUGUAGUUGAGAAGGAUUCCUUCAAUUUCUCUAAGGCCAAUCUCACAAACUUGUCCAACGUUGUAAAACUUCCUUCGGUGGUUGAUUGGGCCAUCGGGAAUGGGACGUGCGAGGAGGCCAAGAGCAACGCCACCACCUAUGCUUGCGUGAGUGCAAACUCUGACUGCUACAAGCCCACCAACGGCUACGGCUAUCGUUGUCGUUGUGAGGAGGGAUUUGAAGGAAAUCCUUACCUAGAUCAUGGGUGUAUAGGUAUAUAUCAUUGCUUUUUGCUAACUACUUAUUCUUUUUAAUCUCUCUUUGUUCACUGUCGUCUGUUAACUAAUAACUACAACUAUUCUUUUGCAGAUAUUAAUGAAUGCGAGACUCAAAAUAAUUAGCAGCAAGCAUGCGUUAUGCAGGAAUACACAAGGGAAUUACACAUGUUAUUGUGAUCCGGAGAAAUUCGAUGGCGACGGAAGAGGUGAACAUGGCUGCAACGAGAAGGCUGCAAAGAAGCACAACAUGAAGAUUGCAAAUAGCUUGAUUGGUAACUAAAUAUUAUUGAAUUCUUGAUAAUUUGGCUUCUUCAAACGUAUUUUGACUUUUUGAAACAAACAAACAGGAGUUGCCUCUGGGAUCAUUGCCCUACUACUUGCCAUCAUUUUCAUCCACUUGAUACUCAAGAGAAGAUCACAGAAUAAGACCAAGCGAAAACUCUUCCUUCAAAACGGCGGGCUUAUGUUGCAAGAGAAACUAGCGAGGAGAGAAGCCUCACCGGAGAUGGUGACGAUUUUCAGCUCAUCAGAGCUAGAAAAGGCCACCAACAACUUCCACAACAGUAUGAUCAUUGGUCAAGGCGGCUUUGGCACCGUCUACAAAGGCGUGUUAGCAGACAGAAGAACAGUUGCAAUCAAGAGGUCUAUAAGAGUUGAUCCCACCCAAAUCGAGCAGUUCAUCAACGAGGUCUUCAUUCUGUCUCAAAUCAACCACAGGAAUGUAGUUAAGCUGCUUGGUUGCUGCCUCGAAACCGAUGUUCCCCAUCUAGUUUACGAGUUCAUCACCAAUGGCACCCUUUCCUCACACCUGCACAACGAGGCUAAAGCUCGUGCUCUUGAUUGGAACACGCGUCUGAAGAUUGCUGCAGAAACUGCAGGGGUACUCUCAUAUCUACACUCUUCAGCUGCUACUCCGAUCAUACACAGGGAUGUCAAGCCGGACAACAUCCUUUUAGACCAUAAUUUCACAGCAAAGGUGGCGGAUUUUGGAGCUUCAAAGUUGGUUCCUAUUGAUCUCACGCAGCUAUCCACCAUGGUGCAAGGGACUUUUGGAUACCUCGAUCCUGAAUACAUGCAAACGAAUCAGUUGACAGAGAAGAGCGAUGUUUAUAGCUUCGGAGUAGUCCUCUUGCAGCUGCUCACAGGGCGGAGAGCAUUGAGUUUUGAUAGGCCAGUAGAGG
rnacentral:lncRNA from 1 species